GACGAACGCUGGCGGCGUGCUUAACACAUGCAAGUCGAACGGAAAGGCCCUGCUUUUGUGGGGUGCUCGAGUGGCGAACGGGUGAGUAACACGUGAGUAACCUGCCCUUGACUUUGGGAUAACUUCAGGAAACUGGGGCUAAUACCGGAUAGGAGCUCCUGCUGCAUGGUGGGGGUUGGAAAGUUUCGGCGGUUGGGGAUGGACUCGCGGCUUAUCAGCUUGUUGGUGGGGUAGUGGCUUACCAAGGCUUUGACGGGUAGCCGGCCUGAGAGGGUGACCGGCCACAUUGGGACUGAGAUACGGCCCAGACGCCUACGGGAGGCAGCAGUGGGGAGUAUUGCACAAUGGGCGGAAGCCUGAUGCAGCAACGCCGCGUGCGGGAUGACGGCCUUCGGGUUGAAAACCGCUUUCGCCUGUGACGAAGCGUGAGUGACGGUAAUGGGUAAAGAAGCACCGGCUAACUACGUG
rnacentral:rRNA from 1 species